rnacentral:rRNA from 1 species
AACGAACGCUGGCGGCGUGCUUAACACAUGCAAGUCGAACGCGAAAGCGGUCUUCGGACUGCGAGUAGAGUGGCGCACGGGUGAGUAACGCGUAGAUAAUCUACCCUGGUGUUUGGGAUAACCAGCCGAAAGGCUGACUAAUACCGAAUAUUUUAAUACCUGUUGGGGUAUUGAUGAAAGGUGGCCUCUAUUUAUAAGCUAUCGCAUUGGGAUGAGUCUGCGUACCAUUAGCUUGUUGGUGGGGUAAAGGCUUACCAAGGCAACGAUGGUUAGCGGGUCUGAGAGGAUGAUCCGUCACACUGGCACUGGAACACGGGCCAGACCCCUACGGGAGGCAGCAGUGAGGAAUAUUGCGCAAUGGGGGAAACCCUGACGCAGCGACGCCGCGUGAGUGAGGAAGGCCUUCGGGUCGUAAAGCUCUGUCAGCAGGGAAGAAGUGCAUAGCGGUUAAUACCCGUUGUGUUUGACGGUACCUGCAGAGGAAGCACCGGCUAACUCCG